ensembl:snRNA U6 U6 spliceosomal RNA
GUGCUUUCUUCAGAAGCACAUAUAAUGAAAUUUGAAUGGUAUAAAAAUUAACAUGGCUCUUGGGCGAGGAUGGCAAGCAAAUUCGUGAAGUACUACAUAUUUUU